rnacentral:lncRNA from 1 species
ACAUAAAGGAAAACAUAAAGUAAAAACUGAAAUAGAAACUUACUUAAGGCAGAAGGGUACUUACGGCCAAAAGUGCCGCAGAAAACAUGAACAGAAAAUUAAACAGCUAUGCCCAUAAGGGGCGACUACUCCUACCUAACUAUGGAAAGUAAAACUACAGCAACGGUCUCUCAAAAUUCGUGCUCCACUCUCUCUCUCUUCUCCUCCUUCGAAUGGUUCACACCUAUGUGGUAUUUAUAGGCAUGAGUUAGGGUACGAAGGCCCAGCCCAUGAGGUGUGGCCGGAUCCAUGCAAGCAUGGGGAUGCUUAUCCCUUUUCAGACCUAAUCUUCAUGAAGAUUUGUUUCCUUUUGGAUAAGGCGGUGGUUUGGUCUUAUCGGUCUCUUUUGGAUAGCUGCCGCCUUCCGCCUUUCUCGGACUCCUGGAGUGCUCGGAGGAUUCUCAUGCUCGGCUGAUUUCGCUGCUCGGAUGAUUCAUUUGGCAAAGCCGACUUCGCUGCUCUUGCGUCCAGAGGAACGGCUUCCGCUCUGGCGUCCAGAGGAACGGCUUCUGCUCUGGUGUCCAGAGGAACGGCUUCCGCUCUAGCGUCCAGAGGAACGGCUUCCGCUCUGGCUCUUGUGAUUCCGAUGGCGCUUGGUUUCUCUGGCGGAGCCGACUUCGCUGCUCUGGCGUUUUGAAUCCUCUGGCAGCUCGAUUCCUCUGGCCCUUUGAAUCCUCUGGCACUCCGCUUCUCUGACAUUUUGGCUUCUUUCCCACAAGCUGGUCCUGCCAUUGAACUACGCCCUCCCAGGCGACCAAACGACACAAACACAAGGAAAAAGACUCGAUCUAGACUUAAAAUAAACACAAAAACAGAGCACAANAAACAAUCUGACUGGUUCGAAUCAAUAACAUGAACUAACGCUCGAUCAUUGGUGCAAAGAUUAAUCACUAUAUUCGCAUACCAGUGGUUAUAGGCAUAAGAAUUGUUGUGCCCCUAUUGUCACUCGUCACGCACACAACAAACCCCUUGCCCAAUCUAUCCUUUCAGUUUAUGAUCCCUUAGAAGGGUCAGCUAAUGGAAAUCAACUACCCCGGACAACAUCCACGCUCUCUGCGAUGGUCUAUCGCUAGUUGUGCUUUGCCCAGAAUGCUUUAAGCUCUAGAUAGACCCACUUGACUCUUACACCGAUAUUUCACAGCAGUCACGGCUCCAACACCAGUUGUACUAUUUUGGAGGUCGAUGGCAACUCGCCUUAUGCCCAAAUUAUUACUUGUGGCCAGAACUCCCUAGUUAACUAGUGACCAAUUAAUUAACCAAGUUGUUUCAACCUUUUUGGAAUCAAACCUAGUGUAUCGGGAAUAUGCUCAUACAGUUAUUAUGCCCAAAUUAGACCUCUCGAGUUAGGUGUUCAUGCUUAGAUCAUCUUGCCCAAAUCAGAAUAUAAAACUUAGCCAAACAUAAAGUAAAUAACACAAGCAAAAGACAUAAAGGAAAACAUAAAGUAAAAACUGAAAUAGAAACUUACUUAAGGCAGAAGGGUACUUACGGCCAAAAGUGCCGCAGAAAACAUGAACAGAAAAUUAAACAGCUAUGCCCAUAAGGGGCGACUACUCCUACCUAACUAUGGAAAGUAAAACUACAGCAACGGUCUCUCAAAAUUCGUGCUCCACUCUCUCUCUCUUCUCC